rnacentral:misc_RNA from 1 species
GAAAUGCGAUAAGUAAUGUGAAUUGCAGAAUUCAGUGAAUCAUCGAAUCUUUGAACGCACAUUGCGCCCGCUGGUAUUCCGGCGGGCAUGCCUGUUCGAGCGUCAUUUGAAGCCCCUCGGCGGCCCGGGUUCUCUUUUGUACUCGCGCCGCCGGCGUCGGCGCUCCGCUUGGCCCCCUUGCUUGUGGGCCAGGCGGGCUGCCCAAAUGCAGCGGCGGACCGUUCCGGGCCUCCCAGCGCAGUAGCAAUAGCCUCGCUGCGGAAGGAAGGAACGGCUUCUGGCCCCCAUUCGUCGACGUUUUUUUGUCGUCGACCUUUCCAAGAGCUUGACCUCGGAUCAGGUAGGAUUACCCGCUGAACUUAAGC